CCAUUCAUCAAUUGUUUUAUAUUAUUAUAAGCAAUUUCAACAUUUCCAAUGCUGUAGCUACUAAUACUGAUUUGUUCGCUCAAUAAAAACAAAGAAGCCACAUAUUUUUAUAGGUAUGCUUAUUUCUUAACGUUUCUAAGGACUGUCACUGAACAUUUUACCUCAGAUCGAAAAUUAGACAUUCUUACCUGAAAAACCGAUGAUAAACGCUAUCUUCCUCCACGUUUAUGACUUCCUCAUGUUGUCUUUGAAGAAUCUAUGGUUGGUUGCAUAUAAUUCUGGGUAUUUCCCUGCAUCGUUGACUAGUUUUUUGUCUUUUGCGGUCCGCUACUCCGCUAUUUUAAUGACCUGAAGUGUGUUGUGACGGUUGAGACCUGGUAAAUCCAGCAGGUGGCUGCCGACAACAUUGAAUGUAAUCACGACAGGCAAAUACUGUAUUAAAUGUCUCGAGAGAAAAAUAAAAGAUUAAAAGGACUACGUUUAUUACACAUUUAUUUAUAUAUGUUAACAUUUUAUCAAGCUGUACAACUAAUGUAAGUAGUUAUUUUGGGUAUCUUGGUAUAAUGUAUGAACAACGGUUUGAAACAAAUAUUAUGUUAUUUAAUACAAAACUAUGCAGAUGGCGCUCCGUGGCGCGGCAGGAAUUUGAACAGCGUCCUGAGUCGUAGCUGGGCGACGCGGACAGACGCCGAAUGGCGCCGCCGGUGUGUGUACACUCAUAGAGAAUAAUGUGUUCGAAUUUUAAAGACGUGGCGCGACGCGACGCUGCGCUUCUCGUCCGGUGUGCAACCCCCUUAACCGUCUCUCACAGAUUUGAAUUGCUAUGCAGUGCAGACCACGGUGCAGACGCGGGAUACUUAGAGAAGGGAGAGACCAGAAAGAGCUAUUUUCUUUCACUCGCGAAGCGGAGCAGACGAGGAAGUUGGUUUUAACAAGGAAAACACCGAAAACAGAGCCCUGCUUCAGCGCAAUGAGAUCAGCAUGGAAUUCAGGAAUUAGGACCUAUUUUCCAGUAAGUCGGACUUUCUUUUUUCAACAAAAAUAUAUAGUAAAUAAUCAUCUACUCACCCUUGAAUUUUGUGUUAUGUCAUAUCACAAAAGGAGAUUUAAAUAAAAUGCUGAGUUAAAUCUUUAUCACUGACUCCGGACUGGAGCUUCGGUUGUUAUGACUGUCAAAAAUGACAGCUGACAGAUGAACGUGAUAACUUCAUGCAACGAGCACAGCAGAUGUAUUUACCUCAGAGAAAAAAGCACAUAUAAAUGCUUUGAGUGAACUAUUAUUGUAUUGUACUAUUUAGGGCUCAAGCCCGAAGGGGCGAAGAGCCCUCUUGGUUUUCUAAGGAUUAUUCUUAUUAUUAUUUUUUUUAUUUUUUUUUAACCUUCCGGGGGUUUUUGGAGGCCUUAACAUACUCAAAAACUCUUGAAAAUUGGCACACACAUUGGAACCUGCGGCCAUCAGGACGCCGCAGAGGCUGGGACCCGGGCGUGGCACAGGGGCUCUACGGCGCCCCCUGGAACACAGUCAGAAAUCUUGAACCAUAGCGCACACAUACUUGCAUGUAUUUAUAUGAAACUCUGUACACUUAUAGAUCUCAUCGAGCCGAACAACUUUCGCGCUCUAUGUCAUAGGCUCCGCCCAACAGGAAAGUUGGCUAUUUAGGGUUUAGUAUUCUUAUUUUUCGUCAAAGUUGUGGGGGCUUUUGGGGC
rnacentral:lncRNA from 1 species